UACGUAGGGGGCGAGCGUUGUCCGAAGUUACUGGGCGUAAAGCGCGCGUAGGCGGCUCUUUAAGUCUGGUGUGAAAGGUUCAGGGCUCAACCCGAACAGUGCACUGGAUACUGGAGAGCUUGAGUCCGGGAGAGGUGGGUGGAACUGCGAGUGUAGAGGUGAAAUUCGUAGAUAUUCGCAAGAACACCGGGUGGCGAAGGCGGCCCACUGGCCCGGUACUGACGCUGAGGCACGAAAGCGUGGGGAGCAAACAGGG
rnacentral:rRNA from 1 species